CGCCUUGCCAGCCCGCUCAGAACUCAAAGGAAUUGACGGGGGCCCGCACAAGCGGUGGAGCAUGUGGUUUAAUUCGAUGAUACGCGAGGAACCUUACCUGGGCUCAAAUGUAUGUUGACGUAUUCUGAAAGGGAUACUUCUUCGGACAAUAUACAAGGUGCUGCAUGGUUGUCGUCAGCUCGUGCCGUGAGGUGUCGGGUUAAGUCCCAUAACGAGCGCAACCCCUACUGCUAGUUGCCAGCGGGUCAUGCCGGGGACUCUAGCGGAACUGCCAGCGUAAGCUGCGAGGAAGGUGGGGAUGACGUCAAAUCAGCACGGCCCUUACGUCCAGGGCUACACACGUGUUACAAUGGCCAGUACAGAGGGCAGCCACCCCGCGAGGGGGCGCUAAUCCUAAAAGCUGGUCCCAGUUCGGAUCGGAGUCUGCAACCCGACUCCGUGAAGCUGGAUUCGCUAGUAAUCGCGCAUCAGCCACGGCGCGGUGAAUACGUUCCGGGCCUU
rnacentral:rRNA from 1 species